GAUGAACGCUGGCGGCGUGCCUAAUACAUGCAAGUCGAGCGAACAGACGAGGAGCUUGCUCCUCUGACGUUAGCGGCGGACGGGUGAGUAACACGUGGAUAACCUACCUAUAAGACUGGGAUAACUUCGGGAAACCGGAGCUAAUACCGGAUAAUAUAUUGAACCGCAUGGUUCAAUAGUGAAAGACGGUUUUGCUGUCACUUAUAGAUGGAUCCGCGCCGCAUUAGCUAGUUGGUAAGGUAACGGCUUACCAAGGCAACGAUGCGUAGCCGACCUGAGAGGGUGAUCGGCCACACUGGAGCUGAGACAGGGUCCAGACUCCUACGGGAAGCAACAGUAGGGAAUCUUCCGCAAUGGGCGAAAGCCUGACGGAGCAACGCCGCGUGAGUGAUGAAGGUCUUCGGAUCGUAAAACUCUGUUAUUAGGGAAGAACAAAUGUGUAAGUAACUAUGCACGUCUUGACGGUACCUAAUCAGAAAGCCACGGCUAACUACGUG
rnacentral:rRNA from 1 species